AGGAUUUUCAACUGCUUUCACUAAUCUCCAAUCAAAAGUGAAUACAUAUUUCAACUACACCAAUGAAACUAAACUCUUAAUCUCAUACUAAGUAAUAUGCCUAUUACUUACUUAGCCAAAGCAAUGCAUCUAUUGCCCACUAUAUUAACUAUCAUUAAUUAAUAUAGACUUCAAUAGUAAGACGACACAAAGUUAACUCUAACAAUGUUCUUACACCCACUCGCACAAAGGUUUGAAACGUUUCUUAUAAGAGUGAAACGAAUCCUACAAGUCUAGCACAUUACAAGCAUUCAAAACAAGAACACACACGAAUAACACUUCUACAAUUGAUCAGGUCCCUUGCUGUAUUUUGAAGCUUGGUUUUUCUCUUUUUGAAAGAAUGAAUCAUUUAGUUGUUUGUCUCUUGAUUAUAUCAAUCAAGAAAAAUUGUUGACCACUGGACAAACAACCUCGUCCAUUUCUAUUAGUGAAGUACACU
rnacentral:lncRNA from 1 species